rnacentral:rRNA from 1 species
GAUGAACGCUGGCGGCGUGCUUAACACAUGCAAGUCGAACGAUGAAGCCCAGCUUGCUGGGUGGAUUAGUGGCGAACGGGUGAGUAACACGUGAGUAACCUGCCCUUAACUCUGGGAUAAGCCUGGGAAAUUGGGUCUAAUACCGGAUAGGAGCGUCCACCGCAUGGUGGGUGUUGGAAAGAUUUAUCGGUUUUGGAUGGACUCGCGGCCUAUCAGCUUGUUGGUGAGGUAAUGGCUCACCAAGGCGACGACGGGUAGCCGGCCUGAGAGGGUGACCGGCCACACUGGGACUGAGGCACGGCCCAGACUCCUACGGGAGGCAGCAGUGGGGAAUAUUGCACAAUGGGCGCAAGCCUGAUGCAGCGACGCCGCGUGAGGGAUGACGGCCUUCGGGUUGUAAACCUCUUUCAGUAGGGAAGAAGCGAAAGUGACGGUACCUGCAGAAGAAGCACCGGCUAACUACGUG